UUUGUCCUUAAAUUUUUUAGCCUUUUAACUACUAAGUUUAUAAUCUUAGGAUGAAAAAUUACAGGAUUGAUAUGUUAGUGGUCUCCUAGAAUUUGGUGAUAGUUUCUUUUUAGACUUUAAUUGGUUAAGGUAUAAAUAAGGCUGCCUAUUCCAGAAAUAAGGAUAAGUUGAGGUGUAGUAUAAAUAUGAAAUAGAGUAAAUUUUUAUUUGGAUAAAAAUUGGGCUGAUCUUGAAAAUAAGUUAAAAAUAUAAUAUUUGGAUGGCUAUAUUAGACUAGCUGGAAUAAAAGUAAUUAUAAUUUUAAAUUAAUAGCAUUUUAUCUAAUUAAUUAAUAUGAAAAUAUUAUUUAAAAAUAAUUUAAUAAAUUAAAAAAUUUAUUGGCUAUGAAUAUCGUAUAAGAUAAUAAAAAAUUCUAAAUAAUUAAUUAUAAAAUAUAACUUAACUUUAAUUAAUUAGUAAAUUAUUUAAUUAGUUAGAUGAUUUGUUAAGAAAUUAAUUUAAUUAGUUGACCAAUAUAAAUAUUAGUCAUUAGAUAAACACAUCAAAUAAUUAAUUCUUGACGAGCUAGUUAACCCUGAAUAAUAAAUUAAUUAAUUACUUAAAGCAAUAGAUUAUGACUUAAAUAUAUUAAUUAUAUUAAUUAAUAAAUAUAUAUAAUAAUUAAAAUUAGAUUUAAACUUUAACUA
rnacentral:lncRNA from 1 species